AAAUUUGCUCGAAUUAUCUAUUAGUAUAUAUGUUGCUGAGGUCAGAUAUUUCCAUUUAAUGUGAGUGGGUUACUUGUCUCCCUAUGUCCCAUUUUAAAACACCAUCAGCUCCAACCCCCAUCUGAGAAACGUAAUUUUUGUUCUGGCAGAGUUCAUUU